AGGAGAUGAAGUUGUAAGGCUUUCAAUUCGAGCACAAGACGACGUAAAUAAAACUAGUUUAAAUAUUAGGACCCCAAACCACUAUUCUAGCCGCGGCGGAUGAGAGUCAAAUCCAGCUGUCAGUUUAAAUAUUCAUCAUUAGCUUAAACAUAGCAAGUUUUUUGAAACGAAAUCUUGAUCAAAGUUUGCAACAAGAAAAAUGAACAAACAGGUAUAUGGUCGGCGACGACAAUAAUAAAAAUCUAGAUGCGGCGGUGAGAACUGGACGACUUCAUGGUUGCGGCGGCGAACUCAUGCAGUUAGGUCGACAGUGACAGGCUAGGGGCUGACGACAACAAGAUCGACGGAGGAGGUCCGAGCAAUCGGUGGUGGUGGCAAUUGGCGUACGGCAAUGGGAAGAAUUAAGCUGAUACAGAUUUCGAUACUCCACUUUAUUUGAAGGUCAGAAGUCUCUCGGGUCGGGUAGAGCAACUGCCAACAAUUCAAUUGCACUUCCAUUUAUACCUCAAGCUUUUUCUGAUCAAUGGUUGGUCUGCAGAUAACUUUAGAUUUUGAGAUUUCAACAAUCUCUUUUUUUUUGCGAUUGAGAAAGCUUUAUCCACCCCUAGGCCCUAUCAGCAUACUGGGGGUAGUAUUACAACUACUGCUUCUACAGUGACUGUGAUUUACUAUAAUUCAAUCUGAUAUGGGUUCCUUUAGUGUCUUCUCUCCCCCUUUCACGAGCGAAUUGGAGAACAUGGAAAGACGAGAAGAUAUAACCAAAGAUCUCAACAUUAGACUCCUACCAUUAGAUAUUAUGUUAGAAUCUUUUGAAUGCACAUGUGGCAGACACUGUGUUAUCCAUAAUUUCGUUAGAAGCGAACGCAAUACUCCGUGGCUGUCCAUGUAAGUUGGUUGCAACUUUUGGCCAAAGCUCGGCUAAGUUCUCAUUCUUAUGCAUUGAGCCAUGGGGUCGCUUCAUGGACCAAACUAAGCCAGGGCCUCACUGUGAUACUAUAUGCCACAGCAAUCAACUCUUAAAGUAAUCUGAGAGAGGUUCAAGUUCAACCGUUAUUGAACUCGUUUAUUCUCCUGCAAAAUACUGAUUUUUAGAUUUGGAGGGAGCCUUAGGUCUCUUUUUGUUUUCUGCGGAGGAUGCCCAUAGAAUCAUGUCGAUUUACAGGUAAUAUGUAAUGCCUGUCCGUGAGUUUUCCUUAGCUGAUGAGAAAAUGCUAUCUGAGUUGAUGAUACCUCGGUGGCUUAUAUUUAUUGGGUAAGAUAUGGCCUUCAAUUGAAGAUGAGCCAUCCGAGAAAUGCAAAUUAAAUAUCUUGGACAGCAAACGUAUGAAUCAGCAUUCUUUUCUUGCAGCUGUGCCAAUGUUCUAGAUAUAUAUGUUUGAUGAAAGAUCAUGUUUUCGUUACUGGACUACGGUUGGCUAGGAAUUAAAUAAGGGAAGUUCUUAGAAGUAUCAAAAUGUUUUAUAGUGACCAUCGCUUACACUUAUAUUCAGAUACUUCAAGAGAUUCAGAGGACGGUGCAAGAUAUUAAUUGUGGGUCUUGGAUUCUCCUAUCAUCAUAUUGUUAUGUUAUUCUUAGGGAAGAACAUUCACUUUGUAACGGAUAUCCAUCGGUCAAAUGCAAAAUGGAUUUGAGAUCCUCCAAUACAUAGAAAAGCAAUUUAAGCCGGGUGUCAUGUGUGAGAUUAUUGUCUAAUUCAACUACCACUCGUCGUUUUCCGAGUCUUACCUCAAGUCCAUUCCAAUCAAUUGGCAAGAAUUUUGACAGAAAUUGACAAUUUGGAAACUUGAUGUUGGGGAGAAGUGAAACUGCAUAUAGGUCUCUGUUUUUUUCUUUCAAUUUCGUUCAUCGUGGUAAGCAAAGAUAGUGUUGAACUUCUAUUCUCUUCUAAAAUGUUCUGAUUAGUUUUCGUUGAUUCUUGCAAAUUGCUUCCUCGAAAGAUUUGGGGGUAAAAAUACCAACUAACAAUAGGAAAUAAGAAGACUUCAUGGAGGUAUAAUGCAUUUAGAUGUGUUUGUAGUGUCUUAAUUCCGAAUCUUUGCAGUGGAUGGCCGUGGUGUUAGAGCUAAAAGAUGCGGACGAUUGGAUUUAUAGAGGGGAAUGAGCUGUCAAUCUUGUUCUUGCUUACUUCGGAUCCUCUCCUACGUUUGUGUGUUCAUUUAUGCUUCCCUCUUAUGAUGAUUUUGUUUUAUUGGUCAAUUUUUCUCUUUUACCACUUUGAUGCAUUCUCUUACACAGAAGUUUUAGCCUUUGGGGACAUACUUGUAAAGCUUUGACAAAACUGUUUUCUGGUAUAACUUGCCCAAUGAUCGUGGAGUAGCAUUUUCUCAGUACUUUUGCAGCUAACCCGCUAGGUUUUAAAAUUGGUUUACUUAUUCCCUCACAAUGAUUUCUGUGUUAACCUAUACCUUCUUUGUACAUGUAAUUUCACGGACAUUGAUCUUCACCAUAUAAUUCCUGUAAAACUGCAGGCUGCAGCCACUGUUCCCUUGCUCAGGUUUUUCAACUUUUGUUGUAUCGUUGGAAGUGUAGAAAGGAUUGAAACGCCACAGUUGAAGACUGACUCAAACAAAAGGUAUUUGAUUGAUGUUGAUGUUCACACAUGAUUAUCUUAUGAAGUCUUCUUAUUCUUACACUGCUGUGCAAAAUGAAGGGGGUUUUCUCCAUAUAAAUCUUGAUUAUCUAUCUUGUGAACUGUUAGUUCCUAAUUCUGUAAAUAUUAUUCUCACCAAUUUUUCUGUCAAGAAACUACAUAAAUUUGAUGCUAUUUGGAAGAGGUAAGGCGUCGCAGCCAUUUAUUACAGGUGUUGAGUAAUAUCUUGAACUGAUAAGGAGAUAGAUCUUGUGAUCAACUUGUAUUGAACAACUCUUGCUCUUCCUUAAACUCUACAGUUACAUAUUCAAGAUUUUAUCAUCCAAAUUUGAAAUGUUUAUUGACCUAUUUGCCUUGUCUAAUGGAAUUUGUCUAUACAAUCAGUGUUUCCUUUUUGGUUAUUCAGAAAGGGCAAUACAUAUUGUAUAGGACAUAUACGUGAAACUUGCGCUUGUGUUUGGCAACAUUACCUACUUCCAAGCUAGAAUUCUGAUGCGCAGUGUUAUUACAAGGUGUUAGUUGAACCAAUUGGCAUACCGUUUUUUAAGCAAUUACAAACUAAGCAAGGCAAUGCAUAGAAUUUGUAAGGUUAGCAACUAUCUGUGCCAUACCAUUGUUAAUUCUUAUUCCGAGGCUGUACUUAAGGAAUUUCAAUUAUUCUCGCCACUCGUCAUUUUCCUUUGUAGUAAAAGAAUAUUUUUUUCCAAAACACUUGCAAAGUUCAACAACGAAGAACAUAAAAAUUCUAUAUGCCUCCUUGCCUAUCGUCACAUGCCUGAUCGCGUCAAGCGAAGAACAUAGGCUAAAAAAUCAGUGGCAUCUACAGAAAUUUAAUUUAUCGAGUAAGGUCCACAAAAGGUUUAGCUAUCCACAUGAUGAUUUGAGUGAUUUAGUCAAAGAUGAUAACAGAUAAAGAGAAUCUAAUUCUCUCUCUUUUUUGGUUUACAUAUCGUGUAAGAAUUCUUACCUAAUAUGUAGUUCUCGAUAAGAAAAUCGUAAAGUACUUCUAUGCAUAACUUUAAAGAAAAAAAAUUAGACCACAUUAAAAACCCAUGAAGUAUUUAAAUUUGGUACAAACAAUAACACACGAAAGUCUUUCUCUCUGUUCGAAACAAGAAUGAAAGGAGGCUCAAAUUACGUGCUCCUCUUGGAGGCAAUCUAUCAAACGGGUGGUGGGCACUACGACAAAGGCAUCUAGUCCUAUAGUUUUGAACCAACGCAAGUAUUGAACUGUGACUCCCAAAUCGAAUACGGCGCACGAAAGUUACGAAGACGUAAUCUCAGUACAAUCGAACUACAGAUUUACCUUGUUGAACCACGGAUCAUGAAGAAUGUCGAGACCUCGUUUGCGAACGAUUACAGUAGUUGCUCAAACCUGCAAACGCUUAGACGAAGAUAGCUUCAGCAGACGAUAGCCUUCCAAUUUGAUCCCAGAACCUGAGUCAGUUAGGGCCCCCUUUGGGUUCGUUUGGCGAAGAUAGCUCGACAUGGUUGCAGAACAGAGGAGAGAGAGAGAAGCAGCUCUAUGAACAGACAAUUCUUAGUGCACAAGGGACUACACGCCAUAAUUCAACUCUGCCAAGAAAAGUACGUACCACAGAGC